AUCUUGCUGGAGAUCCCUGCGUACCAGAGGCCUUCAGAAGGUAGGACUCAGUCUGCCUCUUUCCUUGUUUGGACGUGACAGUGAUGGACCAGAUUUUACUGGGAGCAUGAACCUGACCUUCAGCUUGUGCCAAAGGUGCAACAGAAGAAUGCCUUUCAGCAACAUGCAGGUCUGAGAGAUGUCAAGUGUUCGUUGCAUUCUGCUGACACCCCCUGGUGCCAUUACCAAGCAAGGCAGUCUCUUGCCCCUGCACAUCAGACCAGGGCCUAAGAAGCCAGCAGCGAGUGGCCUUUGAGUCUGUAACAAGCAUGCUGCUUUUCUAAUUAAAAAUGUCUGAUGUUGGAGCCACUUAUAAGGCAAAGACUCAUAGCUCCCUGGUCCCCAGCUUGUCUCAGCUAUGGGAGGAAGAAGCCACUUGAUUUGAAUACUGAAGAGUUAAGAGCCAGACCAGAUGGCAAGGGAAAAAGACACAGGAGUGACAGGAAGCAGCUUCAAGUCUGUGGCUGGUGGGGAGGAAGAGAAAAUGUGCCUUUCUUUUUUAUUAUUUUAACUCUCAUGUAUCUGAAAAAUGUCUCAGUGUGUCCUCCGAGAGACUGGGGUGUUUCCCACUUGUCUGCGAAAAAUAUGCCGUGGAGAUGAUGUAGCAAAAUACGUGCAUAGUGUGGUAAAAUAUAUUUUAAAGUCCAGGGAAACAGUCAUCUCAAACUAAUGAUCAUCCUGAAUUGGCCACUCACUUCUGGUACUGACUAAGCAAUAGACUUAAAUCUCAUUUAAAAAUAAGCAUAUGAAUACCAGAACAAGGAUUUUGUGAUACCCUCAGAAAAUUCUGUGAAGACUACAAAAUUCUGACUGUCUUGAAUGUUAUGAACAAAUUUGAUUUUGUUUGUGUUGUCUGCUUUAAGUUCAGUCCUUUUUUGAGGUAAGUGAGGCUUAAGAUUCAUCUAAGAGUGAGACCUCCCUCACCAGUGUAUUUAAGGAUGCAAUGGGCUGGGACACUGCCUUGUCAGAACAAGUUCUCGCUUUCUCUAGUGCAUCCUUCUAGCCUGUCCAAAGGGAAAGAGGUGUACCCACGUUAGGCAUGCAAGUGGGUAACUGGUGGCCUGGGGUAUCUGGAAUUCUCAUUGGCAUGUAGCUCUGCACUGGGUCAGCAAAGGUGACAGGGCCUUUCCUAUUGCUGCUGGCCCAUGUGGGCUGGACAGGCAUAAUUGCUUAACUUUGAAGUUCUUGACUUAACAAUGCCAAUAUUUCUUUAAUUCCUUCACAUCAUAUUGUUUGCCAUUUAAAAAAAAAAAAAAAGAGUAAGUACACUCUCUUGCUGUUCUCACAGUCUUUUUCUUCCUAUUCUCCUCUGUGAGGUAGCUUCAUAGUCUUAUUCUCUCAAUAAGUUUAGUCUGUCUCUGAAAGCGUAAGUAAGACACAAAGGAGAUUUAGGUGCCUAAGUUCCUCCUUGCACAAUGGAGGAGUCUAUGGCAGAUGGUGAUGGGUGAAGUGCUGUGCUAAUGCCCCACUACAACCUACGAGGUACACCAAUCUGCUAAUUAAAUAAAAUACCAUGAGUUCAGUCAUCCGUUUGCUCUGUUGUGUGUCACAGGAUCAAAACACGAAAAACUCUUUACAAGCACUUCUGCUUGACCAAGAGAGGACAUCAGCAGGACAUCACUCUGUUUAUGAGGCUCCACAGCUCUGAGAGGUGUGUGUGGAGGGUGGAGGUGUCACAUAGGUCAAAGAGUUGUGGUGCUUGUGGUAGUGUUCCUGGCAAACUUGCAAAUCUAGGCAGCAUCUUUAGGAAUUCCUGCCUGUUAACGUAGGUUGAAUCGGUAAGAUCUGAUCUGCCACUCACUCCCCAGAGGGAGAAGUAGAACAUGGAUGUUCACCGAAUGGUUGUUUAUCUUGCCUAAGCUGAGAAAGGAGAGCUGACAGGUGUGGUGGGAGCUGCACAGAAUGCGGAAGUCCAGAAAACAAUGAGGCCAUGCUCUGACAAACAGCUGUAACAUGUGUACACAAUGGAUAUGCCAGCUGAAAAAUUUUAGAAUGGUGUAAGGUGUGGUUAUAGGUAGAUCUAUUUUCCUUUGGCCCAUUUAUUAAGAUCAUAUGAUAAUGAUAGUUUUGUGCUGGCUUGAAUUAUGGGUGUGUUUUGUCGUGGAUUUUCUGGUGUAUAGUCUGUUCCUUUGUGGGGAUUUUGGGUUAGUUUAUUUGGUGGUUCAGCUUCUGUUUCUCAGAUUGCUUAUUGUCUCAGGAAGAAGCUUUUCUAAACAAUGUUAGAACCAGUAAUUAUUCUCAUUGUUGUGAAAGUAGUGUUCAUCUUU
ensembl:lncRNA